rnacentral:rRNA from 1 species
GGCGAGCGGCGAACGGGUGAGUAACACAUCGGAGCGUACCCAGACGUGGGGGAUAGCCCGGCGAAAGCCGGAUUAAUACCGCAUACGUCCUGAGGGAGAAAGCAGGGGCUCGCAAGACCUUGCGCGUUUGGAGCGGCCGAUGUCUGAUUAGCUAGUUGGUGGGGUAAAGGCCUACCAAGGCGACGAUCAGUAGCGGGUCUGAGAGGAUGAUCCGCCACACUGGAACUGAGACACGGUCCAGACUCCUACGGGAGGCAGCAGUGGGGAAUUUUGGACAAUGGGGGCAACCCUGAUCCAGCCAUUCCGCGUGAGUGAAGAAGGCCUUCGGGUUGUAAAGCUCUUUCGGCAGGAACGAAACGGCUGUGGCUAAUACCCACGGCUACUGACGGUACCUGAAGAAGAAGCACCGGCUAACUACGUGCCAGCAGCCGCGGUAAUACGUAGGGUGCGAGCGUUAAUCGGAAUUACUGGGCGUAAAGCGUGCGCAGGCGGCUUUUUAAGCCAGAUGUGAAAUCCCCGGGCUUAACCUGGGAACUGCAUUUGGAACUGGAAGGCUAGAGUGCGGCAGAGGGGGGUAGAAUUCCACGUGUAGCAGUGAAAUGCGUAGAGAUGUGGAGGAAUACCGAUGGCGAAGGCAGCCCCCUGGGUCGACACUGACGCUCAUGCACGAAAGCGUGGGGAGCAAACAGGAUUAGAUACCCUGGUAGUCCACGCCCUAAACGAUGUCAACUAGUUGUUGGAGGAGUGAAAUCCUUUAGUAACGAAGCUAACGCGUGAAGUUGACCGCCUGGGGAGUACGGUCGCAAGAUUAAAACUCAAAGGAAUUGACGGGGACCCGCACAAGCGGUGGAUGAUGUGGAUUAAUUCGAUGCAACGCGAAGAACCUUACCUACCCUUGACAUGUCCGAAACUUGCCAGAGAUGGCUUGGUGCCCGAAAGGGAAUCGGAACACAGGUGCUGCAUGGCUGUCGUCAGCUCGUGUCGUGAAGAUGUUGGGGUUAAGUCCCGCAACGAGCGCAACCCUUUGUCCUUAGUUGCUACGCAA